CAGGUACGCUGGCCGAAUGUAGGGUCCUGAUGAGCGCAAGCUGGGAUCUCUUUACAGUAGGAUUUCCUUGGCUGCUUCUUCCCAGGCACAGCUUGCACACAGAAGAUUCUGAGUGGUGCCAAGGUGAAUAAAGAUGCCUAAGUGCUCGUGGAAGCCAGCAGAGGGUGUAGGGUCUCCUGGAGCCACAUCUCUGGAGUUACAUGAAGUUGUGGACCUCUCAACAUGGGUUCUGGGAACUGAACCCAGGUCCUCUGGAAGGACAUCGAGUGCUCUUAACCACUGAGCCAUCUCUGCAGCCUAACCCCAUCCCUUGGAGGCUGAAGCAAAGCAAGUUCAAUGACCGUGUA
rnacentral:lncRNA from 1 species